UGGGUCGGCAAGACGGCCGCGUCGCCAGGAAUGGUGCCGAGGAACGUCCGGGCUCCACAGAGCAGGGCGGUGGGUAACACCCACCCGGGGUAACCCGCGAGACAGUGCAACAGAAAACAGACCGCCCGGCGCGCAAGCGUCAGGUAAGGGUGAAACGGUGGUGUAAGAGACCACCAGCGGCCGGGGUGACCCGGCCGGCUCGGUAAACCUCGCCCGGAGCAAGGUCAGACAGAGGACUAUGGGGCUGCUCGUCCCGUCCUCGGGUAGACCGCUGGAAGGCUGCGGUAACGCAGUCUCGAGAGAGAUGGUCGUCCAGGGUGCGCAAGCGCCUGAACAGAACCCGGCGUAUCAGCCGGCCCAUUCA
rnacentral:RNase_P_RNA from 1 species